rnacentral:rRNA from 1 species
UACGUAGGGUGCAAGCGUUAUCCGGAAUUAUUGGGCGUAAAGAGCUCGUAGGCGGUUUGUCGCGUCUGCUGUGAAAACUCAGGGCUUAACCCUGAGCCUGCAGUGGGUACGGGCAGACUAGAGUGUGGUAGGGGAGAUCGGAAUUCCUGGUGUAGCGGUGGAAUGCGCAGAUAUCAGGAGGAACACCGGUGGCGAAGGCGGAUCUCUGGGCCAUAACUGACGCUGAGGAGCGAAAGCAUGGGGAGCGAACAGG